rnacentral:rRNA from 1 species
GUGGGGAAUCUUCCGCAAUUGACGAAAGUCUGACGGAGCAACGCCGCGUGAGUGAAGAAGGUUUUCGGAUCGUAAAGCUCUUUCGUUAGGGACGAACGUGCUCUUUGUGAAUAAUGAGGAGUAAUGACGGUACCUAAAUAAGAAGCCACGGCUAACUACGUGCCAGCAGCCGCGGUAAUACGUAGGUGGCAAGCGUUGUCCGGAAUUAUUGGGCGUAGAGCGCGCGCAGGCGGGAUAUCAAGUCUGUCUUAAAAGUGCGAGGCUCAACCUCGUGAGGGACCAGAAACUGGUAUUCUUUAGUGUCGGAGAGGAAAGUGGAAUUCCAAGUGUAGCGGUGAAAUGCGUAGAGAUUUGGAAGAACACCAGUGGCGAAGGCGACUUUCUGGACGAUGUCUGACGCUGAGGCGCGAAAGCUAGGGGAGCGAACGGGAUUAGAAACCCCGGUAGUCC